GAGUCUACAGAGGGCAGGAAGAAGAGAACAGUUUAGCCAUCAAUAGGUUUAAGACUUUAGCCAUCAAUAGGUUUAAGAGUUUAGCCAUCAAUAGGUUUAAGAGUUUAGCCAUCAAUAGGAUGGAGUUUAGCCAUCAAUAGGUUUAAGAGUUUAGCCAUCAAUAGGUUUAACAGUUUAGCCAUCAAUAGGAUGGAGUUUAGCCAUCAAUAGGAUGGAGUUUAGCCAUCAAUAGGAUGGAUUUUAGCCAUCAAUAGGAUGGAUUUUAGCCAUCAAUAGGUUUAAGAGUUUAGCCAUCAAUAGGUUUAAGAGUUUAGCCAUCAAUAGGUUUAAGAGUUUAGCCAUCAAUAGGUUUAAGAGUUUAGCCAUCAAUAGGUUUAAGAGUUUAGCCAUCAAUAGGUUUAAGAGUUUAGCCAUCAAUAGGUUUAAGAGUUUAGCCAUCAAUAGGUUUAAGAGUUUAGCCAUCAAUAGGUUUAAGAGUUUAGCCAUCAAUAGGUUUAAGAGUUUAGCCAUCAAUAGGAUGGAGUUUAGCCAUCAAUAGGAUGGAGUUUAGCCAUCAAUAGGAUGGAGUUUAGCCAUCAAUAGGAUGGAUUUUAGCCAUCAAGUGGUUUAGCAGUUUAGCCAUCAAUAGGAUGGAGUUUAGCCAUCAAUAGGAUGGACAGGGAUUUUAGCCAUCAAGUGGUUUAACAGUUUAGCCAUCAAGUGGUUUAACAGUUUAGCCAUCAAGCAAGUCUCUUCUUAUUGGUGUCCUUUAGUCGUGGUUUCUUUGCAGCAAUUCAACCAUGAAGUCCUGAUUCACACAGUCUCCUCUGAACAGUUGAUGUUGAGAUGUUACUUGAACUCUGAAGCAUUUAUUUUGGCUGCAAUCUGAGGUGCAGUUAGCUCUAAUGAAUUUAUCCUCUGCAGCAGAUGUAACUCUGGGUCUUCCUUUCCUAUGGCAGUCCUCGUGAGAGCCAGUUUCAUGAUAGCACUUGAUGGUUUUUGCGACUGCACUUGAAGAAACUUUAAAAGUUCUUGAAAUUUUCCGGAUUGACUGACCUUCAUGUCUUAAAGUAAUGAUGGACUGUCGUUUCUCUUUAAUAAUUUGAGCUGUUCUUGCCAUAAUAUAGACUUGGUCUUUUACCAAAUAGGGCUAUAUUCUGUAUACCACCCCUACCUUGUCACAACACAACUGAUUGGCUCAAACACAUUAAUUAAGGAAAGAAAGAAAUUCCACAAAUGAACUUGGAACAUGGAACAUCUGUUAAUUGAAAUGAAUUUAAAUGCAUUCCAGGUGGUUGAGAGAAUGCCAAGAGUGUGCAAAGCUGUCAUCAAGGCAAAGGUUGGCUACUUUCAAGAAUCUAAAAAAAUCCAAUAUUUUGUUUUGUUUAACACUUUUUUGGUUACAACAUAAUUCCAUAUGUGUUAUUUCACAGUUCUGAUGUCUUCACUAUUAUUCUACAAUGUAGAAAAUAGUCCAAUAAAGAAGAACCCUGGAAUUAAACUUUUGACUGGUACUGGUA